rnacentral:rRNA from 1 species
UACGUAGGUGGCAAGCGUUGUCCGGAUUUAUUGGGUUUAAAGGGUGCGUAGGCGGCCCUGUAAGUCAGUGCUGAAAUACCCCAGCUUAACCGGGGGGGGUGGCAUUGAUACUGCAGGGCUUGAGUACAGAUGAGGUAGGCGGAAUUGACGGUGUAGCGGUGAAAUGCAUAGAUAUCGUCAAGAACACCGAUAGCGAAGGCAGCUUACUGGGCUGUAACUGACGCUGAUGCACGAAAGUGUGGGGGAUCAAAACAGG